rnacentral:lncRNA from 1 species
CCCCCCCCCCCCCCCCCCCCCCCCCCCCCCCCCCCCCCCCCCCCCCCCCCCCCCCCCCCCCCCCCCCGCGGGAGCGGAGCGCCUCGGUAGCGCGGCUGCUGCAUCCCCGCUCGGCUGCAUCCGCGGGAGGGGGGAGUGUAACCGGCCGCAGGGACGCGCCUUUCUGCCCAUCGUUGCUGCGGAAGCAAGCGAGCAUUUCCUCGUUGUAUUUUUACGUAUACACCUCUCUAAAGAAAAUCUGCAUGGCUUUAGCAAAUCUGUAAAGGCUGUUUCAGCGUUUUUAAACAUUCUGGACAUUCAAACCUUUCCUUCUCAGCAUCCUGGAAUGGGCACGCGGGGAGUUGGGUGGUUCGUAUUUCCCCCUGAGUUUCCAGUGCCCACCUCGUGCCCUUCCUCCAGUGCCAAGUGGAAGCCAAGAUGAAAUUCCACUCAGUCGUCCCAAAAAAAGGAAAUCCAAAGGAAAGAUUCCAUUAGGUAAGGUCCUGCCAAGACUGAAAACUGUUCAUUUAUUCCUGCCUUUUUUUCCUUUCUAACUUCUUUGCAUAAUUCAUUAAAUAGACAUUUCCAGCUGUAAGCUGCUUACGUUGAAUGUGUUAAGCACUUGAAUUUUUGAAUGAACUAAGACUCAUUUAGCAGUCUAGUUCAAUUUCAGUCCUUGGCCAGAUAAAGUUAAUCACUUUAUUAUCACUGAAAGGUUGACUGUAAAAGAUUAUUAGUAUCAGAGCUUUGUGGUUUUACAAAAAGCAGAUCUGCAGAACAAACAUAUUGUUUUAAGCAAGAUUGUAAGUCUGAUCUAUUUUGAUAAAGCAGAACAUGUUAAUAGAAUCUAGUGGAUUUCUGUAACCAGUUGACUUGGGCCUAUAUAAAAAUAUGAUGAGUAAACCUCCUUUAUUUGCUUAAAAGUGAGGCCUCACUGACAGACCUUUAAAUGCAACAAGUAGAGCUGUUGCUAGCACGAUAUCCUAAGGAUUAAGUUUUGUUUACUGCUGUUUUCAAUGAGCUGAAAGAUGGUGCAAAGUACACCUUUUGCUGUUACAUUGCUGCCUAAUUUUGCAUUUUUGCACCAUACAGUUUAUAAAAAGUAGGUAAACCUGAGUUUGAAGUGCAAACAAAGGUUCAGUUGUUACCACAAAAAUUGCAGUCCUUGAAGGUGCUAUUAAAAAACAGGUGUGAUGUAAAUUGGAGAAGUAAUUUUGUCUUUCUGCAUCUGUUCAUGAAAGUUGAUGCUACUUCACUAUAAUAUGAAUUCAUGUUAACCUCUCAUGGAAAUAUAAUUCCUCCAAAGUAUAAUAAUUCAUCUCUCAGACUGGAGUAAAUAUCCUCCAGUGGAUUUUUUUCUGCUUCUUUUUCAUUCUUGUGCUAUAUGUUUAGCCUUUAAAUUUUACUUUGGUGUGACGCCAUUUUGCUUUAGCACAUAUCUGUGUGGAUCACCUUGUAAUAAACUAUUAUUUUUUUUCCCGGGUCUUGUGUUAUAAUCUUUGCACAAAGAAAAGAAAAAUAUGGAGAUGUUGUUCAUUUCUGGUGAUGGAUUCUUUUCACGUAGUCCUCUGCUGGAAGCCGGAAUGGGAAUUGUGGUACUUGUUGGAUACUUAAAUUCCCUCCUGAGCGUGAAACUGUUACAGUGAAACGCCUUUCUACUUCUCAUCAUUGAUUCCCAACUCUAAUAUUUCCUAUAGCACUCGCAUUUUCAUCUCAGUUGUUGCUCA